CCCCUAGUAGCGGCGAGCGAAGCGGGAAGAGCUCAAAUUUGUAAUCUGACACCUUCGGUGUCCGAGUUGUAAUCUCUAGAAGUGUUUUCCGCGUUGGACCGCACACAAGUCUGUUGGAAUACAGCGGCAUAGUGGUGAUACCCCAUUACACGGUGCGGACGCCCAGCGCUUUGUGAUACACUUUCGACGAGUCGAGUUGUUUGGGAAUGCAGCUCAAAUUGGGUGGUAAAUUCCAUCUAAAGCUAAAUAUUGGCGAGAGACCGAUAGCGAACAAGUACCGUGAGGGAAAGAUGAAAAGCACUUUGGAAAGAGAGUUAAAAGUACGUGAAAUUGUUGGAAGGGAAACGCUUGAAGUCAGACUUGCUUGCCGGGCUUGCUCGGUUUGCAGGCCAGCAUCAGUUUUCCGGGGCGGAUAAUGGCAGUUAGAAUGUAGCAGUCUCGGCUGUGUUAUAGCUUUCUGCUGGAUACGUCCUGGGGGACUGAGGAACGCAGCGUGCCGUAUGGCGAGGGCUUCGGUCCUUCACGCUAGGAUG
rnacentral:rRNA from 1 species